UUUUGAUUCUUUAAAUUUUAGUUCUUGUGUUUUUUGGACUUUUGGAUUUGUUUGGACAUUUGAAGAGUAAGUUUUAGUUGGACUUCUACUUUUUGCUUUUGCUUUAAAAAAUCCUUUAGUUCUGCAUUUCUGGGUCCUUUUCCUUUGUAUAGUGUACCGUACAUGACACUUUUUCUUGAAGUUUUGGCCUGAUGUACUCAUGCAAAUGAAGUCUGAGCACACUGACAGACAUAGUUUUGGAAAACACCUCCUCAAAUGAAGAAUCUCAAACAAUGUUGUGUCUGUAUUCAAGCAGGGUUGUGGAGGAAAAAAAGUUUUUGGAAAUGCUGAUACUAGAACCUUAACUUAUUUACUUUUAGAAAGUAUUGUGAAAAGCAGGGGCAGAUUUGAGAGUUAGGAUAUUAUUGCCGACAAAACCAUCAACCUGAGGAAAGGACUGGCAGCAUGAGUGGGUGAUGUUUCUGCAGGUCCUUGUACUGCUGAUUGUCUGGUUUUAUAGAGGGGGACAUAGAGGAAAAAAACUAAGUUAAAAAUAUCUGUAUAUACUGUAAGAAUGAAGAGCGUGCUGUUUUUAUUCCUUAAGUAGGCUUUCAUGCAGACGCUGAAAUGUUUCAUUUAUUCUGGAAACUCCUGAUGUGAUAUUGUAAUAUUUCUGAUAUCCAUGAUUAUGAUAUGAAAACCAUCUUGCAUGUAUGAGUGAAAUUGCAGUAUCUUAAUGAAGACGUACAGAAAUAUCAGAUAUAGGCAUCAUAAGAAUGAUUUCCGCUAAGGUUUCCAUUAGACUCACUAUCUGCUAUUAUCUUAAUGUGCUUUAAACGCAGUCGUCGAUGACUCUCUGUAUACAUACGAGUGCAUACCACGAGAAGCCAGAGGGUUGUGUUUGGAUUCAGCCUCAAAUUGAAUUUAAUGGCUGCAGAAAUGAUGGUGGUGAGCUGUAACCAAACCUGAAGGCUCAGAAAUUGUCAUUUUAGAGACCUGUGGGUGAUCGCCCCGUCCUCUCCACACACAUUUCUCUCCUGAUGACACAAAACUGUAUUUACCAGUCAUGAGAAGGGAACGCUUUUCUCGUAUUCGUAUGUGAGCCCCGGGGCUAAAGAGGAGGAAUUCCCAUUUGAGACACAAGCUGGAAAGGCUGGAGAACCUGAGCCUCAAGGGGGGGCAGCGGGGCGAGUGUUGGAAAAGCUGUUUCUCAUAAGUGCUGAAGCAGUGAGUAAAAAUCCCACUUGCGCGGAGUCAAGCUGUUUGCCCCUGUCCAGCCUUUAUAAGCCCCAUACAGGAGCUCUGGUUACAGUAGAUUAGUAGACGAGUAUGCAUCAUAUAAUAUCGGUCAUUAUCAUUAUGCACCACGGUUAAUGCUUUUUAAGUGCGAUUGAGAAUUAGCAAAAGAAACUGUACAAUGUAGAGGAGAGGAUAGGGUGCAGGCAGCUGGCAGGAAGUCCUGGGCUCCAUUUUAGAAAGGGGGUUCAACAGACCGGAGUCUGACCUUGAACUCUGAGUUAAUUUAGGGAAACUCAAGAGUUUCUGGUUCCACGUUAGCUGAUCAGGGUGAGUUACAGAGUACAAUAUUUAGUUAAUUUUCGAAAUAAAAUAAAGUUAAUACGUUGAACUGUUCUUAACGUGAUAAUGGGAGGGGGUAGGGUUGUGGGAUGUGGGUGUUUAUAUACGCCGCCAAUCUCAUUUAAUGUCUCACGGUGAAACACACCAGUUCUCAUGAGAUCGCAAGUGCUUCUCCUCUGCUUGCGGCAGCGGAUCGGAUCCGAUUGGCGCUGUAUGCUUUCAUUUUUGAUUCGCCUGCCAUUCCGGAGUGGAGCGGAGCCGAGCGGAUCUGCAUGCGGUGGAAUCCCGGCAUUAAGCUUGUGAAUGAUGGUAGUAGGAAACCAGCAUUAAAGGAGCCUUGAUACUACAAUUCAAAGUGACAGCUGGCGACAAAGAAGUCCUCCUACAUCUCCCUCUGUAGAAUGUGAAACUCUUAUGUAGAUGCAAUCUGGGCUGAGAAGUUGAAAAAGAGUGACUCCAAAUGAAAUAAUAGUAAUAAUGAUAAUACACACAGAAUCUGUGUGGAAGUAAAAAAAAAAAAGUGAUGAUGCUCCAACAGGUGACAGAUACAAAACUAGAGUAAAAACAACCUCCUUCCUACAUAAAUAUGCAGCGCGUCACUUUGCACUUCCUGCAAAGGUCAGAGUUCAAUUAACAAAGGAGGCAUGUGCCAAUCCCUGCAUACAGUUUUUAACCCUCAGGCAUGUGUUCGCAAAUUUGCAAAAUGUGCCUCCAGAUUAACUAGCACAGUGCUCUUGUUUAGUCUCACACUUCGAGACCUCAUCCUCACAGAUCAGAUCUUUACAGAAAAUACUGGGAGGAGCCUCCUGUAGAGGAUGUUCAGACUCACAGACUUUGACCUGAGCUGGCCCCAAAGAUCAUGGAGGGAGAUAGACUCAUUAAUCUGUCAGCACAACACAGUUUGACAGCAAAUCCAAUCUGAGACAGUCACUGGCUGCUGUUAAUAUCAACUCUGCUAUGAUGUGUGGAAUAUCUCAGUUUUAUAUUCUUCUGACAGAAACAUCAGUCAUUCGAAAAUCUACAGCACAACCAAUACUAUUUGUCUUCAACACCAGUCUGUUAAAAACCCAUUCAAUGUUUGGAGGACGUUUGUUCAAAGGUUGUAAAAUAAAGCUGCAGGAGUUUCAGGUUUGGUCUAAAAGGAUAAAACUGAAAGCCUGAGCAGUGAGUGUGGUAAAAAAAAAUAGAUAAAUAAAGCCUGCAAAUGGAGGUUUAUUUGCAAAAUCUGCCUGGUGCAUCUGUAAAUUGGGGUUAAAAAUAAGACACAAACUUUUCAGUUGCUUGUUUUUUGCCCCGUCUAAACCCUCUGCUCCUCCUCUCCUUGUUAUCCCUCUGUUUCUGCUCUCAGCGGGUUAUUUCUGCCUCCAGGCGUUGUGAUGACAGCCGACGGGCACCGUGACCUCCGAUAUGUUUCGGCUGGCUGCCUCGCUCGUGUUUUUAAGUGUCAUGUGGAGGAGAGCAGUGCUUGGAUUAGCCUCCCAGAACAACUUUUGAUAACAAUGCCGUCCUCUGGAAGCCCACGAGUCUUCGCAGUACUUUGUCAAAGUCUACAGCUGGCUGCUCGAUCAGAUCCCAGCAUUCAUCGCAGGAACACAAGAGAGCUAAUUCUGAUUUAUGUGUUUUCACACCUCAUUACUUUUUUAUACUUCUAUGCUCCGAGGGGGGAAAUGCUUGUUUUUGAUGGAGAGACAAAGAAGAAGGAGGCGAAAAGAGUCCAACUUAUCCUUGAGGCAAUGCCAAUUAGAAUGUCGGGAAGCUACGGAGGCGAAAGGACGAGUUCUGAGACAUCUCAGGGUGUGAAGAGUAUCCACCUCAGCAGUUUUCCAGCCAGGUAUCUCCUGGAGGCACAGGCUCAUGUUACUCAGGAAGUUUGGAAUCCAAGUUGACAGAAAACACAUCUUCCCAGAGGCAAGAACAACAAAAAAUGAAUAAAACUGGCUGAAUUUAGACUAUAACUGCAAACCCACAGUAAUUCUGUUGGAUUAUAUGCACAAUUUCUGCAUAACCCUUUCUCGCAAGGAAAACUGAAACAUGC
rnacentral:lncRNA from 1 species